GCAAGUCGAACGAGAAAGUACCUUCGGGUGCGAGUAAAGUGGCGGACGGGUGAGUAACGCGUGGGAAUCUGCCUAGUAGUGGGGGACAACAAUCGGAAACGGUUGCUUAAUACCGCAUACGCCCUACGGGGGAAAGGCUUCGGCCGCUAUUAGAUGAGCCCGCGUAAGAUUAGCUUGUUGGUGGGGUAAUGGCCUACCAAGGCAACGAUCUUUAGCUGGUCUGAGAGGACGAUCAGCCACACUGGGACUGAGACACGGCCCAGACUCCUACGGGAGGCAGCAGUGGGGAAUAUUGGACAAUGGGCGAAAGCCUGAUCCAGCAAUUACGCGUGUGUGAAGAAGGCCUGCGGGUUGUACAGCACUUU
rnacentral:rRNA from 1 species